rnacentral:rRNA from 1 species
CUGCAUGAAGGAGGAAUUGCUAGUAAUCGCGGAUCAGCAUGCCGCGGUGAAUACGUUCCCGGGCCUUGUACACACCACCCGUCACACCAUGAGAGCCGGUAACACCCGAAGUCGGUAGUCUUAACUUUUAGAGGACGCCGCCGAAGGUGGGACUGGUGAUUGGGGUGAAGUCGUAACAAGGUAUC